AAUGUCAUGUGUGAGCCGACAUCAUCAAGAAAGGGAAGAGGGCACACAAGAAGAAAAGUAACUGCACUGGAUUGCAAAGACUGGGGUGGACCUCUUUCUUAAUGUCCAGUGUCCUGUGUCAUAAGAUUCAGUGCAAUAAGU